rnacentral:rRNA from 1 species
UACGGAGGAUGCGAGCGUUAUCCGGAUUUAUUGGGUUUAAAGGGUGCGUAGGCGGGCUGUUAAGUCAGCGGUAAAAUUUGGAGGCUCAACCUCCACGAGCCGUUGAAACUGGCAGUCUUGAGUGGGCGAGAAGUAUGCGGAAUGCGUGGUGUAGCGGUGAAAUGCAUAGAUAUCACGCAGAACGCCGAUUGCGAAGGCAGCAUACCGGCGCCCAACUGACGCUGAUGCGCGAAAGCGUGGGGAGCAAACAGG